GGGGUUUCACCAUGUUGGCCAGGAUGGUCUUGUGGCCUGACCUCAUGAUCCGCCCACCUGAGCCUCCCAAAGUGCUGGGAUUACAGGCAUGAGCCACCGUGCCCGGCCAGGAUCUAUUUUUUGUUUGUUUCGAGACAGGAUCUCACUUUGCUGCCCAAGCUGGAGUGCCACUCAGGUCGGAGGCAGGACUCAACUCCAGACCAGAUGGAAGACUGGCUAAAACAAGGAAGAAGUACCAAAAGCAUUCCUCCAUAAGACAUGCCUACCAGCACAAUGGCAGUUUACCAUUGCCAUGGCAAUACCCAGAAGUUACCACUGCUUUUCUGAAAAUUUCUAAAUAACCUGCCCCUUAAUUUGCAUGUGAUUAAAACUGGGUAUAAAUAUGACUGCAGAACUGCCCCUGAGCUGCUACUCUGGGCACACUGUCUAUGGGGUAGCCCUGUUCCGCAAGGAGCAGUACCUCUGCUGCUGCUAUACACUACCGCUUCAGUAAAAGCUGCUGUCUAACACCACCAGCUUGCCCUCGAAUUCUUUCCUGGGCAAAGACAAGAACUAUCCCAGGCUAAGCCCCAGUUUGGGGCUCAUCUGCUCUGCGUCAUCAAUGCCUGAUGGUAGUUCAUUGCAGCCUUGACCUCCUGGGCUCAAGCAAUUCUCCCACCUCAGACUCCCCAGUAGCUGGGAGUACAGGCACAUACCACCAUGCCUGGCUAAUUUUUAUUUUUAAUUUUUUUGUAGAGAUGGCAUUUCACUAUGUUGCCCAGGCUGAGGAUUCUUUAAUCUUGGAGACUUAAUGUUUCACAAGCAUGUGUCUGGGUGUGGGUAUUUUUAAUUCGUUUUGCUCUGUUAUUUUCUCUGAUAUUUACUUUCUUUCUCUCCAUGAUCAUUACUUUACUACUCAAUUUUGCAACUCUUUUGAGGACUCUCAUUUUUAUUUUUUGAAAUGUAUUUUUAUGGCCAGGUGCAGUGGUUCACGCCUGUAAUCCCAACACUUCAGGAGGCCAAGGCGGG
rnacentral:lncRNA from 1 species